CUGUUGAUAGUAUAUAAAUAGUUUUUAUUAUCUUUUUUUUUACUAUUAUUAGGUUAUUACUAUUCUAUCUACCACCACUAAACUCUAUAAGUAUUUAAUGAUAAAAAUAUAGUAAACAUUAUUUCUAUAUUGUCAAUAGUAUUCUAGCUUUACUAUAUAUAUAUAUAUAUAUAUAUAGUCCAGCUAUGGUUCUUGUAAAAACACCAAGCACUAUAUAUAUAUAUAGUCCAGCUAUGGUUCUUGUAAAAACACCAAGCACUUGGUACUUAUAAGUUUUUUAUCCUUAGAUCUAUUCCUCGGAUCAUUUUCAACCAUUAAAUUAUACUAUUCAAUCAACCACCCACUCAACCCUAGGGUGCCCACAUCAUCCUAACCGUAUAUCUCUUAAUUCAAUGGCUAAAAAUCUACAAGCACUAAUAACUUGGUACUUUUAAAAGCAUAGGAGCUCAAUUAUAUAUAUAUAUAUAUAUAUA
rnacentral:lncRNA from 1 species